ensembl:lncRNA
AAUGAAGUCAGUCCUGUGAUCUGCACCAGAUGUGUGCUCCUGCUUCUCUGCGAGCUCAUUACCGCUGACCGAGAGGUGCCCUGUGUGCCACCACAGCUGCUGGGGGGCAGCCAGGCACAGCACGGGUCUUCCUGUCCCCAAAGCUCCCAUCCAGCACAAGCACUCCUUCCCGGAGCCCAGGGAGAGCAGCGGCAGCCAAAUGAGUAAGGCAGAAACCUCGCUGCUCAGGCAGCCAUGGUGCAGCAUCAGAGCAUGGAAGGGGUGUCUGUAUAGCAGGCGGCCCAAGGCAGUGCACAAGGGAAAGCAUCAGCUGGGCUGACACCAGUGGUGCUGCUCGGCUUUGACCCUGCCUGAGGACAGUCCACAUCCACCUCCAGAUCAGCCAAGUUUCCCAGGCUGGAGAAGUGGGUCACUGUGCAUAGCAUACAGGGCCGUAGCAGAGGUGUCCUUCCCUCCCUGUGGGCAGAGAGCUUUCCUGCUGCCACGUGAAGCUGCCUUUCCACCUCCUGGACCGUGUCUGGCUUCUGCAGGCGGAAUGCUGGGACCCAGUCCAGAAAAGCAGGAAAGCAGCUCGGUGCACGCAGACAGCUUUACUCAUCUCAUGGAACAGCAGAACCGAUUCAGGCUCAGGAAAAUGAUGUGGAAUGUAAAGUGUUCUGCCCUUGUAACCAGCACGGUGGAGCCGCAGGACAUGUUGGAAAUGACACAAUGAACCACUGUGUGCUCUUAUUUGCAGAGUACCUGGACAUAAUGAUGUGGGAAGGAGUGCAGAAGCUUUGCAUUUCCUGGAAACAUUCUCAUCCGAGGGCAGCUGUCAGUUCUUUAGCAAAAGAGGUGGCUGAAGGACAGAGGGAGAAACCUAUGAGGAACAAAAGCAUCCAAGGAGCAGCCAGCAUGAUGGACUACGAUUGUUCUAUCUCACUCUGCGGAGGAAUCACUUUCAGUUUCAUCAGCUGUCUGAUUGUUCUGUAUAGGCUCUGUUUCUGCCAUCUGAAAGAACCCAGAGCACAACAUCACUAGGUAGGAUGUGCUUCAGUGCUCAGCCAGGCCCAGGGGGCCUCUCAGCAGGACGUGCCUGGGACACAGGUAACAAAUGGAUGUUCUCUGUCCUCUGGAGGAAACGUGUCUACACCAGAGGCCACGCUUUCAAGCUGUUGGAGACACACAGCUGUCAAUUUCUCCCUCAACAACCACCACAAACACAAUUAUGGCUGACUGAACUUAGGAUUUUUAAAAUCCCUAUUGUUAGUAAAACUAAAGAUUGAUGUGAAUGGGGGUUGGCAUUACCUUCUACAUGCCAAAGACAAAGGAU